rnacentral:rRNA from 1 species
UACGAAGGGGGCUAGCGUUGUUCGGAAUUACUGGGCGUAAAGCGCACGUAGGCGGAUUGACAAGUUGGGGGUGAAAUCCCGGGGCUCAACCUCGGAACUGCCUUCAAAACUGUCUGUCUAGAGGUCAGGAGAGGUUAGCGGAAUACCGAGUGUAGAGGUGAAAUUCGUAGAUAUUCGGUGGAACACCAGUGGCGAAGGCGGCUAACUGGACUGAUACUGACGCUGAGGUGCGAAAGUGUGGGGAGCAAACAGG